rnacentral:rRNA from 1 species
AUGGCAGAAGUAGUAGAAGUACACAAGGAUUGGAGUGGUUCAUUCCCCUCUGGGAAAAAGAUAACGGUUGUUUUUGUCAUAGGAGGGCCAGGUAGUGGCAAAGGCACUCAGUGUGCUAAGAUUGUGAGCCACUUUGGGUUUACCCAUCUGAGUGCUGGCGAUCUUCUUCGCGAAGAAGUUAAAUCUGAUACCGAGCAAGGUACAAUGAUCAAGAAUCUCAUGCACGAAGGAAAGCUUGUGCCUUCUGAGAUCAUUGUCAGGCUACUAUUAAAGGCCAUGCUUGCAAGUGGAAAUGAUAAGUUUCUUAUUGACGGAUUUCCACGAAAUGAAGAGAACCGCGAAGCAUACGAGAAGAUUAUUAAGAUAGAACCUGAGUUCGUAUUAUUGAUUGACUGCUCAAGGGAGGAGAUGGAGCGGCGCAUUCUACAUCGAAACCAGGGAAGAGAUGAUGACAACAUGGAAACCAUUCGGCGGCGGUUCGAAGUUUUUCAGCAAUCAACUCUGCCUGUUAUUCAGCACUACGAGAAAAUGGGGAAGCUUCGAAGGGUUGAUGGUGACAGGCAGCCAGACAUGGUGUUUGAAGACGUGAAGGCCGUCUUCGCACAACUAAACACACAGGCAAACCAAGGCAGCAACGUGAGCAGAGCACAAACUAAUCCAUUCAAGCGCUGGUUUCUCGACCUUUUCUGCAGUUGCUUCGAUGUGGCAGACAGAAGGAACUGA